GUCCACCAGAACGAUUCGCUUUCUAACCCCUCGCAUCUAAACGAUCAUUCUUCAAACCCGGAUCAGUCAAACGAUGACAGACACUGAACGUCAGUUGAGGAUAAGGGAACGAUGAAUGAGAGCAAGAAGAAAAAGUAGUGGGAUAUUCUAGCCAAAACAAGAGUUUAUGCGAUCUCAAUUCCUAAAAUUAUAUAUUUCUAUAUUAUUGUUAAUCAUUACUACAAUCUUGAGUUUUCUGAAUUCUAGAACAGUGACCCGACCAACCAAUUAUAACCCUAGUUUACACACAUGUUGGAUACAUGAAUUCAAUUUACUAGGUUUAUAGCUAACGAAUAGUUGAGGGAAAUAGGACGGUAGAAAAGCGUGACGUUAUAUACUAAACGAAUUUUUUAACAACCGUCAAUAAAUCGUUAAAAAAUUGGAAUUAUCCGUCUCUUCAAUUAUUCCGCUCCGUUGGCCGGACAGACCACAAAUUAAAAAAUUCGUUUAUGGUCAUUACGAACGAUGCUAGGACGAACACCAAUCAAGACGAGAAGUUCCGCAUCCCGAGAAGGUCGCUCCCCAACCGGAUCCGCAAAGAAGGCCGCUGGCGAUCAGAGGAGCUGUAAGU